UUUAGUGAAGGUGUUGAAUAAUAU
rnacentral:siRNA from 1 species